rnacentral:sRNA from 1 species
UUUUAGCCCUGAUUGAAGUGGAAAUCCUUUUUAUACGCCUUUUCGGCGUAUAAAAAGAUUAUAACGGAAAGCAGGAAACAGC